rnacentral:rRNA from 1 species
UACGUAGGGACCGAGCGUUGUCCGGAUUCAUUGGGCGUAAAGAGCUCGUAGGCGGCUGUUCAAGUCGAACGUGAAAACUCGGGGCUCAACUCCGAGCCUGCGUUCGAUACUGGACGGCUAGAGUCUGGUAGGGGGAUCUGGAAUUCCUGGUGUAGCGGUGGAAUGCGCAGAUAUCAGGAGGAACACCGGUGGCGAAGGCGGGUCUCUGGGCAGUAACUGACGCUGAGGAGCGAAAGCUAGGGGAGCAAACGGG